rnacentral:lncRNA from 1 species
UUUUUUUUUUUUUUUUUAUAAUACAAAAGCAAAUUAACCACUCUGAAUUUUAAAAGAUGAUGUUAUGUGUGUAUGUGUGUGUGUGUGUGUAUAUAAAUAUAUACAUAUGUUUAUUUCCUAAAAGAGGAAAAAGUACUUUUUUUGUUCAACUUGUAUCAACUCCUGUUUUCUAAUUGCUGUGAAAUGGCAACUGUUGAUAAAUUAUUGUGACUGUUUUAAAAUGUGAUGGGGAGGAUAUAUUUUGAUUUUACGGAGCUUUAAUCUGUAAAGUAUCACUUAAAUAUAUCUGAUAGCAACACUUAAAAUAUUGCAUGGGGAUUACUUUUCUAUCAUCCAUACCCAUUUGUGCAACUUUGAACAUAUUGGGUGCUUUUGAAUUCUCAAUGAUUGGGUUUAAAUUGAAAAUCAGAGAACUUAAACUUACUUUUAAACUUUAAAUUUUAUUUUCUAUUCUUAAAAUUCAGUUAAUGCCUAUAAUUUGAAAUCUCUUGUUGUUCUUUCUCAAUAUAUGUCCUGUUGGAAAUUCCUAAAAUUGUUAGUGCCAUCAGUGAUUUACAAACAGUAUUUUGAUAUUGCAGAUGAUUUGCUCAUUGUAUUUGCAUAGUUAGAAAGAAAAUAGUUUGUAGACAAUGAUUCUCUUUUUCUAAUAAAAUGAAAUAAAAAUUCUUAAAAGCGCUAGAGAAUUUAAAGGCUGGUUCCCAAGUGCAUAGCUGGUCUUUUAAUUUAUAUUCAAAUUCCACAUAGAGAACAUCUGCGUAAGCCAUCUAUCUAGGUUUUCCCACUGAUCAUUCUCAAACACACCUAUGGUCCUAGAAGGCUUUAUUAGGAGAAGUACCAGGCUGUACGGUACUGUAACCUUUUAUGAAGUUUGUCUGUAAGAGGCCCAGGUGCUUCGACUUUAUGCUUUGAAAAUUUGCCUCUUCCUAAAUUAGUGCUGUUUACUUUGAGAGGAAGCAGGGCAAUUGCUGUGAGAGUUUUGCAUCUUUUUACCCUCUGCGGAAUUGCUAUACCUCGCCAACUAUACUGCUGCUCAGGCAGCCUUUUGAGGGAAAAGCAACCCUGUUUCAAAUGCACUGCCAAUUCAGCUCCUCUGGAGUGGAGCGAGCUUUCUGAUUUCCCGCAGUGGGAAUUUUAGAGAUUGAAAUGGGCGAUCGGUUAGUCAGAUUUAUCCUAUAAUUUAAGUUCAUGCAGCUUUGUGACCUUUGCGGUACUAUUUAUAGAAGGACCGUGAUGGUGAUGAUCUCUUUAAGACACAUGACUGGUGAGCCUGUGAUUUAGAGCCACCGGUGCUGUCUGUGUGGUUUUUUUUUUUAGACAGCCUCCCUAGCUUUCCACGAGAGUCGGGUAUGGGAGCAUCUUUACAGCAGCGUUGAAUGUAAUUUUGAGAAACAUGGAUUGUAUGUUUUGACUUUUACUUUAUGAAUACUCCGGAGAGCUAAACAGUGCCUUCCCCACCACAAUCCAUGUUGGAAGAUGCUCGGCCUUCCUGUCU